UGGGGAAUAUUGCACAAUGGGCGCAAGCCUGAUGCAGCGACGCCGCGUGGGGGAUGACGGCCUUCGGGUUGUAAACUCCUUUCGCCAGGGACGAAGCGUUUUGUGACGGUACCUGGAGAAGAAGCACCGGCUAACUACGUGCCAGCAGCCGCGGUAAUACGUAGGGUGCAAGCGUUGUCCGGAAUUACUGGGCGUAAAGAGCUCGUAGGUGGUUUGUCACGUCGUCUGUGAAAUUCCACAGCUUAACUGUGGGCGUGCAGGCGAUACGGGCUGACUUGAGUACUGUAGGGGUAACUGGAAUUCCUGGUGUAGCGGUGAACUGCGCAGAUAUCAGGAGGAACACCGAUGGCGAAGGCAGGUUACUGGGCAGUUACUGACGCUGAGGAGCGAAAGCAUGGGUAGCAAACAGGAUUAGAUACCCUGGUAGUCCAUGCCGUAAACGGUGGGCGCUAGGUGUAGGGGCCUUUUGGGGUUUCUGUGCCGUAGCUGACGCAUUAAGCGCCCCGCCUGGGGAGUACGGCCGCAAGGCUA
rnacentral:rRNA from 1 species